GAACAUGUUCAGCUUUGAAGGCAAAUUCACAAACCAAAGCACCUACUUCCAGGUUUGCAGUGUUCUAUUUACAAGUUGUUCAUCAACUAAACCAAGGUACCACUGUAGUUUAAUAAAUGGCAACCAUUGAAUCUUACUACUUGUUUGGUGUCUUCAUUCUGGAGGUGUUGAGGCAAACUAUAUUUUCAAAACUUUUGAACCAGGCAGUCCAAAUAAAUGGGAUUUAUUAUUUCUGGAAUUAGAAGUCCCCCUGGCCUUUGGGACAAAGGCAAUUCAAGUAAAGCCAUGUCCAUUGAGAUGACAGUAUACUCAUGACACGGGAUUUUCAAUUUUUAACUAGGGAAGUGUGGAGGAAGAGGGAGGACUUUUUUUCAUCAGCGCACAUUCUGAAAUGGAAUUAGUUCAAUUGUGCCACCGAGGCACCGUCCUAGAGACUUCCCAAACAAAAAGAUCUGUGAAACAAUUUGCAAUUUUUCCCAUGUACAAUCCAAUGAUACUCCAGAGACUUCGCAUUCCUCUAAGAUAGUUUCUAAACCUCAUUAUCCUCGAGUUUAGCACAGUGUUCUGGCCAACUGUCAGAUGGCUGUGGAUGCUGCUGCUAAUGAACUGUAAAAUGUCCAGGGAUUAAGCAUCCAAGGUUGCAAUCCUAAGCACGUUUACUUGGAAGUAUGUUUCACUGAAGUCAACAGGAUUUCAUUAUGUUGGAUGGAGAUGCUGGAAUCAUGGAUAUGAUGAUGGUAUUAAUAUAUACUGGAUAACAGUUAGCAUUGUGUUCACCUUUAGCAUGCUAAUAAACUGUGAUGAUUUCCCUCGGCUCUUGGUGCUGAUAACAUAGCACUAAGUAUCUUUUGUUUCAUUACAGCCAACACUCACCCGCUGCUCAGCCCUGAAGUAGUGGGACACCUGUUUACAAUAAGGAGUCAAUCCUACAAUGUGUGAAGUAUUAAUCAAAAAAGUUUGCAUCUCCAAUCAUAGCCAUUUCCUGCUUCCUAUUCAUCCCUCCAAUGUGUUUAUAAGUCAGGGUGUCAGAAGUUGCAGCAUCCAGUUAAGGGAAUUUGGCAUCCAAGCAGAACCGAAAGUCCCAGAAUUAAGUUACAGUCUUUCAACUUCAUUUCUAUAGAGGCCGAACUUGCCCUACCUAUCCGCUUUUUGUGAUUUUUUUCCAGAGAUUGCACCAAAAGAAGGUGAAAGUGUUUCCCCGUACAGAGUGAUGGCAACUGGCCAGCCAAGUGGCUGGGAUAACCCAUGUGACCAAUACAGGAAGCACUGUCCUGACUCGCAAUUGGCUUUGUCUUCCCCCUUCCCUGUGGCAUUGCUAUGUAGCCACAUCUGAUUGGCUGUAUAGCACAGUGAUUUCAACAGCUUCACUACGAGGUUCCUGAUGGAUUGGAGUCACCAUAGGAAGGAAAAAUGGUCUUGCCAGAUGAAAAUAGUGCUGAAACAAAGAAGAAAGCAGAGGUGAAACUUCUCUCCCCCCCCCCCCCCGCAGGCUUGAAAAACGAUGACCAUUAAAAUUUUGUUUUGUUUAGAAACACUAUGUCCCUAUACUGAAGCUACGUUUUCAGUAUGGAAAGCAAAAUGGGUGGCAUUUGGUGUAAUUCAAGUGAUAGUGAGCCCGGUGGUCCUAUUCUGUUGCCUCUGGUUCAGGUUGAGUUGCUGUCUGCUGCACUGGGAACCACUUGCGCCACCUCAGAUUUGACCCUAAAGCAAUUUGGAGGGGUAGGGCUAAAGGUUUUUAAAAGGAUUUUAAAACUAUAUUCUUAGAGUUUUUAAAAGCUUGAAGGGGGAGUGACCUGGGAUCACACAGGAUCGGAUCUGCAGCGUGUUUUCAAGUGGCUUCUCCACAAUCAAAGAAAACAAGCAGCUCAUGAAGAAGCUGUCCAAAAUCAGUGGUAAAUGGGAGGAUCAGAUCCUGUGUGAUGCAGCACCCACUCUGUACUUGUUUACAUGUGCACAUAUACCAUUUGCACAAAAGAGCAGUCAAAAAAUAAAAAUAGGAGAUGCCUCACGCCAAACUAGGUAAGGAUUUGGAGUUGUUCACAAGAAAUGUUGCCUGUUGCUUCAUUUCCACAGCCUUUCCUCCCCAUUUCCUGGCCAGGCCAGGGCAGCUUUUCUGUUAGUUUCUGGGGUUGACAAGGCAUGUGAGCCUCACCUGUCUUGAGCCUUCUCCAGCUCAGAAAUCAGACAACUCCUCCCCAAGCUAGUGAGCCCCACCUGGGCUGUGGGUCCUUGCCUGUUUCCCUCAGAACUGACAGCUGUUAGUUCUGAAAUCCUGAUGUCAGGCGUGGUACGUCCCACUUUGCCACUUUAGGCAAAACAGGAAGUGCCAAACUGCUCUGCCAUGCCACAACACCAACACCGCCAGUGGGAUACUCACCUCCGCCACUUGUGGAGAAGCUUUGCUGGCGUUGAUCCCUGAAAGAGCUUGCAAGAAUCUUAAGAGAUAUUUUGCUCUCCUAGACAUCUUGCAGGACUUUGAUGAGAUCUUGCACGACCUUACUAGAAAUCAUCUUUAUUUUAUUUUUAAAAAUAAUUGACCAGUUUUUCACAAAACAGCAGACACAUUGAUCCUGUGUGGUAGGAUGUCCAGCAGGAACAAUCGCUGCUGCAAUGAGCACACCUUCUCCCGGAUAGACACACCCACUAGUCAGAUAGGUCUCAAACUUUUCCUGCAGCUUUGCUUGCCUCUCCUUCCUUGCCUGAAGCCUCACCUCCAGCCUGUGGGUAUGCAUCUCAUCCAAGGCUCUCCAAACAUGCUUGACUUGGCUCAAGCCUUGGCUGAAUCCAGUGCACAGCCCUAGUAAUAUCAUCUACCUGCUCUUGAAGUGUAAGGCUAGAUAUUUUAGAGCACUAGCUCUUACGACGUGGGGUAAUUUUGAUUCUAGCUUGGUCCUCUGGGUGAUGUAGUAAGCAACAGUGCAAAUAUGGAGAGGUUGCCUGGUCUGCAGGACUAACUCUA